UGGUAGGGUAUGUAAUAAUAACCUUAUCAUUAACACAUUAUUUGAGACCUGCCAUAGAUAAGGUUUCCUCCAUGGCAUGUUGACUGAGUCUUGGGGAUGAACAAAGCUAGUUCAGGUAAGAACUUGAGGAGAGGAGGGAGCACUUUCCAUUCAGGGGGAUCCUUCUCUGACUCAUGGGAAUCUUGGAGACACAUGGAAGGAAGAAAUCUGACUAUUCCAUCUAGAAAUUGUAACUGGGAUUUCUUGCGAAGCUAGAGAUACCUGUACAACGCAAAAAAUUAUGGAAGUAAUAAUAGAAUAUCUCCCUAAGCACGCUUAUGUUUAGGACUCUCUUCUUAGGGUCCUGUCCCACUCUCCUGUAUGUACCCCACAAGCUAUUAGGAGAAAUAGGUCAGACCAGACUGUGGUGCAAUAUUCACGAUCACCACCAGAGGGCGGGGCUUCCUUCAGAUGCGCUUCCUCACUGUCUUCAGGAGCUGGUUUCACUUGCCUACUUUGUAGCCACAAGGCAGAAUAUUGCUGCAGUACAGAAAGGGGCUCUCAGUUUCUGAGGGAGGAGCUUCUGUAACAUCCAGAUGGAGACUAGAUUUCUCAGACUGGUGGAUUGCAGAGAACAAGGAUCGUUUUCUUUUACGAACAUGCAUCCUGUCACUCACUCAGUUCUUCUGAUCAUCUUAAUAUUCAGAGGGACCAAUGGUGACUCAGUGACCCAGACAGAAGGCCCAGUGACUGUCUCAGAGGGGGCUCUCAUGACCCUGAACUGCACUUACCAGACUGCUGGUUUUGCUCCCUAUCAUGUCUGGUAUAUCCAGCAUCUCAACAAAGCUCCUCAACUCCUCCUGAAGGGCUCGAUGUCAGACCCGAAGCCAAAGAGUGAAGGUUUUCAGGCCACUCUUGUUCAGAGUGACAGGUCCUUCCACCUGCAGAAACGGGCAGUGCAAGCAUCAGACUCGGCUGUGUACUACUGUGCUGUGAGUGACACAGUGACACAGGGCUGCGGGGGAGCUGAGCACAAACCCAGAGUGCAGAUGGGGCUCUGGCUGUGGGCAGCCCUGCAAGGGGGUGGCUCUUUCUGUCUUAGGUGUUUUAUGCUAGCUGUGCUGCUGUUUAUUUGCUAAGUCAUGCCCGACUCUUUUGCGACCCUGUGACUGUAGUGGGCUC